UACGUAGGGUGCAAGCGUUAAUCGGAAUUACUGGGCGUAAAGCGUGCGCAGGCGGUUGUGCAAGACAGAUGUGAAAUCCCCGGGCUCAACCUGGGAAUUGCAUUUGUGACUGCACGGCUAGAGUGUGGCAGAGGGGGGUGGAAUUCCACGUGUAGCAGUGAAAUGACGCAGAUAUCAGGAGGAACACCGGUGGCGAAGGCGGCAUCCUGGACCGACACUGACGCUGAGGCGCGAAAGUGUGGGGAGCAAACAGG
rnacentral:rRNA from 1 species